UACGUAGGGUGCGAGCGUUAAUCGGAAUUACUGGGCGUAAGUGUGCGCAGGCGGCCGAGCAAGUCGAGUGUGAAAUCCCCGGGCUUAACCUGGGAACUGCAUUUGUGACUGCACGGCUAGAGUGCGGCAGAGGGGGAUGGAAUUCCGCGUGUAGCAGUGAAAUGCGUAGAUAUGCGGAGGAACACCGAUGGCGAAGGCAAUCCCCUGGGCCUGCACUGACGCUCAUGCACGAAAGCGUGGGGAGCAAACAGG
rnacentral:rRNA from 1 species